UAAGUUAAUUAUUUUAUUUAAUUAUAUGGAUAAUUUUAAUAUUUUUUUUCCAGUAAAUAAUUUUAUUUAAUAACAUUUUUGUUUAUUUAGAAAUUAAAUUAAAAUAGAUUAAAUUUGUGCCAGCAUUCGCGGUUAUACAAUUUAUUUUAGUUAAUUUUAUAGGAAAUUAAUUUAUAUAUUUGUUCAAUAGAUAAUAUUAUAUUUAUAUUUAGGUGGAAUUUAUAUUUUAUAUUUAAGUUCUUUUUAUUAGUUAAAAAAUUUCAGUUUUAAACUAGGAUUAGAUACCCUAUUAUUUGUUAUGUUAUUUUUAUCCUGAAUAGUAUUAGUUAAGUUCUUUUAAGCUCAAAAAAUAUGGCGGUAAAAUAUCUAUUUAGAGGAACCUGUAAAUUAAUUGACAAACCACGAUAGUUUGAACUUUAUAUUUAUUUGUAUAUCUCUAUAUUUUGGAGUGUUUUGUAAAAAUAUUUUCUUUAGCUAAUUUUAUAGGUUUAUAUUAGGUCAAGGUGCAGUUUUUAUGAAGAUUUUAUGGGUUACAUUAAUUAUAAAUUUAUUUAGAAUGAAUUUCUUAUAAGUGGUUCUGAAUUAGGAUUUAAUAGUAAAUUACAUUAAUUAAUGUAAUUGGAUUUUGCCCUAUUUUAUGUACAUAUCGCCCGUCACUCCUAAUCUAAUUUAGGAUAAGUCGUAACAAAGUAAUUUUAUCGGAAGAUGAGGUUAGUAUUUUUUUA